UUGGGUAUUAUCAUACCUUAUAAUAGCUUUUCCCUCCUGGAUUUAAAGUUGGUUCCAUUUUUUCUCUUCCCUUUCACAGCCUGGGAUUGUUCAGCCUGGGUGAAAGAGGAAGGCCCAUUAAGAUGAUGAAAUUCGACAGCAAGGAUGAUAAAAAAGAUGAUGAACUCGGAAAAUGGGGAUUAUUACUUUGGUGAUGACGCCGAUGAAGAUUGUCGAGAUGGUGAUGGAGAGGAGAAGAAGAUGGAUUUUAGCAAACUAGAACCGUAGCCUGAUCAUGCAAACAUGCAAACAGGCCCUUCAGAGCUGUGAAGACGGAGGAUGUUACCGAUGGCAAGCGCAGAAGAAACCCAGACCGCAUUAAUUCGCCGACAAGAUCUGGCGAUGAGAUCGUUCAGGAAAAUGUUGUGCUCCGAGCGAGAGAGAGAGAGAGAGAGAGAGACACAGAGAGAGAGAGAGAGAGUAAUGCCUUUGCACCUGACUCGCUGAAUCAAUGAGAUCCAAUGAGACGCAUUUGUGUCGGUCAUUCGAAGGAACCCAAAAUUAUGUAUUUCUAAAUUUGACCCUUAACUAUU